rnacentral:miRNA from 1 species
CAGAUGCACAGUUAAAUUUGAAUCUCAGAUAAGCAAUGCAUAAUUUGUUAGUGUAAAGAUGCCCCAUGCAAAAUUUGGCACAUACUUAUGCAAAAAAGAGUUCUUUCUUGCUCAUAGGAAGUUCAAAUUUAACUGAGCAACCUG